UUUUGAAAAUGAUGUCACCAUGGUGGUCCCAGAAGCUAAGCAGUGUUGCGCCUGGUUAGUACUGGGAUGGGAGACAGCCUGGGGAUACCAGGUGCUACAAGAU
rnacentral:rRNA from 1 species